rnacentral:lncRNA from 1 species
AGAGGAAUGGUCUUGGGAGCCUUCUUUAGCUGCUGCCUUCAUGUUUCUAAUACUUCUGUCUGCAGAAAGCAGUGAGAAGAAUAAAAGAUCAGGGACUGAGUCAAUGAAGUUGUGCCAGGCUUGUCAAAACAACCUUGUCCAAAUUUUUUUCUUCUAAAACUGAACUCCUAGAUUGCAGUCCUUCUGCCGCUCUCUGCAGUUGCCUUCAGCGUGAUGUGCUCCGUGACAUUUUGGCUUUUCCCUGCCAGCGGCAAUCUCAAGGAUGUUAUGGCCGGGAUGUUUUGAAGUGAAUGUAAAUUGUGAGCUACAUUUUUACAGUACCUAUAUAUACUUGGGCUCUCGUCACUAUCUCUGAUAGCUUCUUCACUACUGAUUUUAAUACCAGGUGAGCUUCAUAGGCGAUUCCGGAGCAGAAAGUUUCCAGCUGCAAACAGCCAGCCAGAAUCCAGAACCGGACACAGCACCCAUGGCACCCCAGCUCAAGCUUCAAAGACAGGAGUGAAAUUUGAAUCAGCAAGAGUUCCUCUGUCCACAGAUUGGCUUGAAGGAACCCAAAAAAGCAUUUUGGUAAAUAAACUGUUCAUCUGAAAUACUUUCACCAAGCCUACUCUCUCGUCUAACUUGUGCACUGAUGCUGAUUUUCUAUAAACACAUAAAUUAAAUUUUUAAGGUCUUUUUUCCACUGUGUUAAAGGACGUAGUGAUACUUUCUCCCCCAGAUGGAAAUUGUGAAGUAAAGUUUUUAUAUUGUUUAAGUAAAUAACACAUUACAUAACUAGCAAUAGUCACAUUAUGUUACAGUUUGGGAAGAGAGCAAGAAAUACUGAAACCUCAGGGGAAAUGUAGAUAAUGGAAUGUAAUUAGUUGUAGUAGUUUCUGGCCAAAAGAUUAGAUYUUAUAUCUAUACACUUACUAAGAGUUUUUCUAAGUGACGACAASUGGUGAAGACAUUCGAAUGGUAUCCAAAAGACGGCAAUAAAGAUGUUUGAUGGUUGCCCA